rnacentral:rRNA from 1 species
UAGGAAGGCAGCAGUGGGGAAUAUUGCACAAUGGGCGAAAGCCUGAUGCAGCUAUGCCGCGUGUAUGAAGAAGGCCUUAGGGUUGUAAAGUACUUUCAUCGGGGAGGAAAAAACAAAACUAAUAAUUUUAUUUCUUGACGUUACCCGAAAAAGAAGCACCGGCUAACUCCGUGCCAGCAGCCGCGGUAAUACGGAGGGUGCUAGCGUUAAUCAGAAUUACUGGGCGUAAAGAGCACGUAGGUGGUUUUUUUAAGUCAGAUGUGAAAUCCCUGGGCUUAACCUGGAACUGCAUUUUGAAACUGAAAUACUAGAGUAUCGUAGAGGGAGGUAGAAUUCUAGGUGUAGCGGUGAAAUGCGUAGAUAUCUGGAGGAAUACCUGUGGCGAAAGCGGCCUCCUAAACGAAUACUGACACUGAGGUGCGAAAGCGUGGGGAGCAAACAGGGAUUAGAUACC